rnacentral:rRNA from 1 species
UAAUACGGAGGAUCCAAGCGUUAUCCGGAAUCAUUGGGUUUAAAGGGUCCGUAGGCGGGUCUGUAAGUCAGUGGUGAAAUCUCCCGGCUCAACCGGGAAACUGCCAUUGAUACUGCAGGUCUUGAAUGUUUGUGAAGUAACUAGAAUAUGUAGUGUAGCGGUGAAAUGCUUAGAUAUUACAUGGAAUACCGAUUGCGAAGGCAGGUUACUAACAAAUGAUUGACGCUGAUGGACGAAAGCGUGGGGAGCGAACAGG